GAUGAACGCUGGCGGUGUGCUUAACACAUGCAAGUCGAACGGAAAGGCCCUGCUUGUUUGGGGUGCUCGAGUGGCGAACGGGUGAGUAACACGUGAGUAACCUGCCCUUGACUUUGGGAUAACUUCAGGAAACUGGGGCUAAUACCGGAUAGGAGCUCCUGCUGCAUGGUGGGGGUUGGAAAGUUUCGGCGGUUGGGGAUGGACGCGCGGCUUAUCAGCUUGUUGGUGGGGUAGUGGCUACCAAGGCUUUGACGGGUAGCCGGCCUGAGAGGGUGACCGGCCACAUUGGGACUGAGGUACGGCCCAGACUCCUACGGGAGACAGCAGUGGGGAGUAUUGCACAAUGAGCGGGAGCCUGAUGCAGAAACGCCGCGUGCGGGAUGACGGCCUUCGGGUUGUAAACCGCUUUCGGCUGUGACGAAGCGUGAGUGACGGUAAUGGGUAAAGAAGUACCGGCUAACUACGUG
rnacentral:rRNA from 1 species